GACGAACGCUGGCGGCGUGCUUAACACAUGCAAGUCGAACGGAAAGGCCCUGCUUUUGUGGGGUGCUCGAGUGGCGAACGGGUGAGUAACACGUGAGUAACCUGCCCUUGACUUUGGGAUAACUUCAGGAAACUGGGGCUCAUACCGGAUAGGAGCUCCUGCUGCAUUGUGGGGGUUGGAAAGUUUCGGCGGUUGGGGAUGGACUCGCGGCUUAUCAGCUUGUUGGUGGGGUAGUGGCUUACCAAGGCUUUGACGGGUAGCCGGCCUGAGAGGGUGACCGGCCACAUUGGGACUGAGAUACGGCCCAGACUCCUACGGGAGGCAGCAGUGGGGAAUAUUGCACAAUGGGCGGAAGCCUGAUGCAGCAACGCCGCGUGCGGGAUGACGGCCUUCGGGUUGUAAACCGCUUUCGCCUGUGACGAAGCGUGAGUGACGGUAAUGGGUAAAGAAGCACCGGCUAACUACGUG
rnacentral:rRNA from 1 species